rnacentral:misc_RNA from 1 species
UCCGUAGGUGAACCUGCGGAAGGAUCAUUGUCGAGAAACCCAUAAGUGUUCGAUCGACCGGAGAAAUUCGUGUGAUGAUGCGUCGUCAGUUGUCGCGCAUUACUCCAUCUCGUGUGCUCGCGUCUUGAUGCGUGUCAUGCGGGGUUGGAGAUAUUUUUUUUGGGCAUCGAUAAGUGCCAAGGAAUAGUUUGCAAAGCGGUCUAUUGCGCAUCUGAUGCUUUGAUGCGUGACAAAAUAAGACAUUGAAAGACUCUCGGCAACGGAUAUCUUGGCUCUUGCAUCGAUGAAGAACGCAGCGAAAUGCGAUAUGUGUUGUGAAUUGCAGAAUCCCGUGAACCAUCCAGUCUUUGAACGCAAGUCGCGCCCAAGGUUGCACGCCGAGGGCACGUCUGCAUGGGUGUGAUGCGUUAAGUCGCUCUCGCAGGAAACCACCCUUCUUGGUGCCUCGGUGCCUGUUUGGAGGCGAGCGGUGGCUCCCCGUGCUGUUGCAUGGUGAGUUGAAGUGCUGGCUGAUGUUUGGCUCCUGAUGCUCUAAGAGGUGGAAGUUGCACAAAGCGUUGUGCAGGCGUCCAGUCGAGCUUGACGUUGCAGCCCGUCAUGAAUGCGAUAUUUUAAAUCCAACUCCACGCACCUGUGUUUGGAUCGUCACCCCAUGUCAGGUGAGGCUACCCGCUGA